rnacentral:lncRNA from 1 species
AUUUAUUUGGAAUUUUCUAUUUAAGUGUCAUUGGAGACCUGUUUUAAAAAUAAAAGUUCAUCAAUAUCAUAAACAGAUAUCACUGAUGAGCUUUGUAAACAGUUUUUGCCUCACAAAAAUUAAUGUUUUUAAAUUGGAUACAUCAAGUGUCUGAAAGCAGAAUGACCUAUCUAUAUCACUCAUCUCCAGAGGUUCCAAAAAAACUUCACAUCACAUGAAACCUCACCUUUAUAGACGGCUUUUAUGACUCCCUCAGUAACCUUAUCUUUAUACUCAUUAGAAUUUCUGUGGCAACUGCCAAGCCAGUGUCCCAGGGCUGAAAAGCAACAAAGGAGAAGAAGGAGGUGCUGGUGAGCCUGGAAAGUAUGAUUCCAUGGCCCGGAAGGGUGAUAUAGGGCCACGGGGUCCUCCAGGAAUCCCAGGAAGAGAGGGACCAAAGGGAAGCAAAGGAGAGCGGGGCUACCCUGGGAUACCUGGGGAGAAAGGCGAUGAGGGUCUUCAAGGAAUUCCAGGCAUUCCAGGUGCUCCAGGCCCGACUGGACCCCCUGGCUUAAUGGGAAGAACUGGACAUCCUGGUCCCACAGGAGCAAAAGGUGAAAAGGGCAGCGACGGACCCCCUGGGAAACCCGGACCACCUGGACCACCUGUGAGUUGUUCUAGGCUUAAAAUUUAAAAUUCAUGUGUUUACUUAAGACUUUUAUAACUCAGAGGUAAGACUACAUUUAGAUGUUUUCAAAGAUAAAAUUCUUCUGAAUUUCGUGUAUAAAUAUAAAUGAUAGCCAAUGUAGCUUUAAAGAGACCUGAUUUGUUCUCCUUUUGGUUCAGCCUCAAUGUGCAAUGCUCAGAUUGGCAUACUGCGGGUCUCCCCAUCUUGGAUUUAGGAAUCUGGGUUUGUGCUCCGACUCUCCACUUCCUGGCUCGGGGCCCCUGGGAAAGUCAUUUAACCUUAAUGUGCUUCAUUCACAGAAAGGAGAAGGGCCAGAAAAAUAGAUCCUUUCCGCUGAUGCGAGUUGGUAGAAAAUCGGAUAUUAUGCUAUAUGUGUUCAUUCCCAUUCAUGAUGUCUGAGAUGCAAGGAAACUCUAUUUAUGUAGCUCUUAGUGAACAAAAAGUACAAGAGGCAUCGAUGUUUUCAUUAUUGUGAUUGAGACAGAUGCACGCUCCGUCAGGGAAACGGUGGAGAGGAGAGGAGCCUCUCUCCGUGGCAAGUCUGCCCUCAUGUGGGGCCACGCUCGAAUCGCAGCCGAGCCGAGCUGAGAUAUCACGCAAAACACCCUUUUCUACCCCACCUCACAGGAAUACUUUAAGAAACCAAACUCACCAUAGAAAGGGCAGAAUUGACCGUGACUUUCCGAAGACAAUGAGGAUUAUUAUCAGUCUGCGUGCAGUUGCAUGCUUUGUACACGUAAAUGAAGAGAUUAGCACUCUAUUUCCUAAACUUGUUUCCUAAAUCUGUUCAUCUGUGUUACUGACCUUUUCCCUUGACAAGAAAGCAGGACGGAAAGUAUUAGGGUUCAAAUCCUAAAAUUCACUCCUUCCCCCGUGGGCAGAACAGCAAAUAUAACAUGAGUUCAUGAAAGGGACCUAUAAUUUUAUAAUGCACUUAAGAUGUCUUUGUCUUCCCUCUGAAUUCUCCAAAACCAUCCAUCCUUCAAAACACAGUUUAAAUGUUUUCUUCCCUGGGAAACCUCCUUUGGAAAUCUCAGAUGAAAAUAUCCUUUGUCUCUCCAGGACGUAGCACACUAAAAUAUGGCAGACAUUCAGUCGCUGUCAGAUAAAUGAGUUAAAUAAUAGAGUAAUAAAUGGAUGGAGCGUUUGUCUUCCAUCACUAGUGUUUGGAAGAUGCAUGCAAAUUGUCUUCACAGAACACUACUGGCCACCAUCAUACAGAAACAAUGAAACAGUGACUUCUUCAACUCUGCAACUGAUAUGUGAAAACUGCAGAAAGGAAAAGGCAGAUUUGACUAUUGAUUCUAUAC